rnacentral:rRNA from 1 species
ACGGCUCAGUAACACGUGGAUAACCUGCCCAAGGGUCUGGGAUAACCCCGGGAAACUGGGGAUAAUACCGGAUAGAUCACCUAUGCUGGAAGGGCUUGGUGGUUUAAAGGUAACGCCUUUGGAUGGGUCUGCAGCGGAUUAGGUUGACGCCGGUGUAAUGUACCGGCGUGCCUGUAAUCCGUACGGGUUGUGGGAGCAAGAGCCCGGAGAUGGAUUCUGAGACACGAAUCCAGGCCCUACGGGGCGCAGCAGGCGCGAAAACUCUACAAUGCAGGAGACUGCGAUAGGGGGACAUCGAGUGGCAUCCACCUUGGGUGCCUGUCCAACCGUCUAAAAAACGGUUGUUAGCAAGGGCCGGGUAAGACCGGUGCCAGCCGCCGCGGUAAUACCGGCGGCUCGAGUGGUGGCCGAUAUUAUUGAGUCUAAAGGGUCCGUAGCCGGCUUUGCAAGUCCCCUGGGAAAUCCAGCGGCUUAACCGUUGGGCUUUCAUGGGAUACUACAUUGCUUGGGACUGGGAGAGGUAGGAGGUACUCGGGGGGUAGGGGUGAAAUCCUGUAAUCCUCCGGGGACCACCGGUGGCGAAGGCGUCCUACCAGAACAGGUCCGACGGUGAGGGACGAAAGCUAGGGGCGCGAACCGGAUUAGAUACCCGGGUAGUCCUAGCCGUAAACGAUGCCCGCUAGGUGUCACGACAGUCGUGAAUUGUCGUGGUGCCGUAGGGAAGCCGCGAAGCGGGCCACUUGGGAAGUACGACCGCAAGGUUGAAACUUAAAGGAAUUGGCGGGGGAGCAC